CGGAAGGCAGCAGUGAGGAAUAUUGGUCAAUGGACGAGAGUCUGGACCAGCCAAGUAGCGUGCAGGAUGACGGCCCUAUGGGUUGUAAACUGCUUUUGUACGGGAAUAAAGUGACCUACGUGUAGGUUUUUGCAUGUACCGUAAGAAUAAGGACCGGCUAAUUCCGUGCCAGCAGCCGCGGUAAUACGGAAGGUCCGGGCGUUAUCCGGAUUUAUUGGGUUUAAAGGGAGCGUAGGCCGUGCUUUAAGCGUGUUGUGAAAUGUAGGCGCCCAACGUCUGCACUGCAGCGCGAACUGGAGCACUUGAGUACGCAGGAAGUAGGCGGAAUUCGUCGUGUAGCGGUGAAAUGCUUAGAUAUGACGAAGAACUCUGAUUGGGAAGCCAGCUUACUGUAGCGCCACUGACGCUGAUGCUCGAAAGCGUGGGUAUCGAACAGGAUUAGAUACCCUGGUA
rnacentral:rRNA from 1 species